CCGGUUCGACGAAACCUUCCGUCUUCACCUUUGAUCCCAAAUUCUUCCAUGUCCUGCUUCACCUAGUGCCGCUACCGCAGCCGCUUUUAGGAUCACGCCCGACCGAGGAGGGAGGAGCCGGCGGAGGAGCGGAGGGGCGGAGGCAGAGAAGACGCCUGGCCUAAAGGAGAAGGCAGCGAUGAGGUAUCCUAGGUCGGCGUGCAGGGCGGCGGCCGCCGCAGCCACCUGCGUGUGCUACGCCUCCACCAGCGCUCUGAUUGAAGCGAGGGGCACCUCUAGAGGAAGGGGACGCCGGAGGGGAGAGAGGCCAAGGAGUAACUGCUACCUUAACUAGGACAACGAUUACUUGGGGAACUCAAUGAAGGGUUUUCCUGAAUGGUUGGGUCGUGGUAGUUCGCCUUUGCUUGGGUACCUAAAGCACGUGCGUUUAGUUGGUGACCACCCGCAUUCCACUAACGAGCCUCUUAGCGAUUUCCUUCCGUGUUUUAAAGUACCAUUACCUUUGGGUACCGUGGAUACCCUCAAAGUGGAGUCGAAACUUACUACGAUUACACUUGCAGACCCUCGAAUGUUAUCUACAUAAGAGGAAGGCUCCGCUCCCAUCGUAGAAACCCUAGUAAAGGCAGGUAGUUUGAUACUACAACCCAAUCGCACACUCUAUGGCACCAUGAGGGAG
rnacentral:rRNA from 1 species